GGGGAUGUAAAGGUUUCGACGGGGAUUUCAAACCUUGGUAAGCGAGCGGCGGUGCGGAACCGCCAUAAAAUCCGCAACUUUAAAAUUAACUGACAACAAAACAGUUGCUUUAGCAGCCUAAGUGCUGCUCGUUCCUGCACAGAGUACCUCGGCUGUGUAAGGGGCGUCGAUUAGAGGUAAAUGUGAACAGGGGAGCGCUCCGAACCCUGUCACAGCUCAGGAGCUGCCAAAGUGCAUAGCCUGUUGAUGGGCGAUGCACCGAGGGAGAUUUAAAACACCAACUGCGCUCGGAGAAACCCUUGGCAAGAUUUUUUCGGACAGGGGUUCGAUUCCCCUCAUCUCCACCA
rnacentral:tmRNA from 1 species